UACGGAGGGGGCUAGCGUUGUUCGGAAUUACUGGGCGUAAAGGGCGCGUAGGCGGCGUCGUAAGUCAGGCGUGAAAGGCCCGGGCUCAACCCGGGAACUGCGCUUGAUACUGCGGCGCUCGAGUCCGGGAGAGGAUGGCGGAAUUCCCAGUGUAGAGGUGAAAUUCGUAGAUAUUGGGAAGAACACCGGUGGCGAAGGCGGCCAACUGGCCCAUUACUGACGCUGAGGUGCGAAAGCGUGGGGAGCAAACAGG
rnacentral:rRNA from 1 species